rnacentral:rRNA from 1 species
UCGAUUUGGAGUUUGUUGCCCUGAGUGAUGGGCUCCGAAGCUAACGCGAUAAAUCGACCGCCUGGGGAGUACGGCCGCAAGGUUAAAACUCAAAUGAAUUGACGGGGGCCCGCACAAGCGGUGGAGCAUGUGGUUUAAUUCGAUGCAACGCGAAGAACCUUACCUGGUCUUGACAUCCACAGAAUCUAGCAGAGAUGCGAGAGUGCCUUCGGGAACUGUGAGACAGGUGCUGCAUGGCUGUCGUCAGCUCGUGUUGUGAAAUGUUGGGUUAAGUCCCGCAACGAGCGCAACCCUUAUCCUUUGUUGCCAGCGGUUUGGCCGGGAACUCAAAGGAGACUGCCGUUGAUAAAGCGGAGGAAGGUGGGGACGACGUCAAGUCAUCAUGGCCCUUACGACCAGGGCUACACACGUGCUACAAUGGCGUAUACAAAGGGAGGCGACCUCGCGAGAGCAAGCGGACCUCACAAAGUACGUCUAAGUCCGGAUUGGAGUCUGCAACUCGACUCCAUGAAGUCGGAAUCGCUAGUAAUCGUGAAUCAGAAUGUCACGGUGAAUACGUUCCCGGGCCU